CCUACGGGUGGCUGCAGUGGGGAAUAUUGGACAAUGGGCGCAAGCCUGAUCCAGCCACGCCGCGUGAGUGAUGAAGGCCUUCGGGUCGUAAAGCUCUGUGGGGAGGGACGAACCGCUGUCGGUUAAUACCCGGCAGCAUGACGGUACCUCCUUAGCAAGCACCGGCUAACUUCGUGCCAGCAGCCGCGGUAAUACGAAGGGUGCAAUAGUUGCUCGGAAUUAUACGUAGUCGGCCGCGCGUAGGCGGCUUGAAAGCCCUCGGCUUAACCAAGGAAGUGCAUCCAAAACUGCUGAGCUUGAGUAGUUAAGAGGAUCGCGGAAUUCCCGGUGUAGAGGUGAAAUUCGUAGAUAUCGGGAGGAACACCAGUGGCGAAGGCGGCGAUCUGGGAACAUACUGACGCUGAGGUGCGAAAGCGUGGGGAGCAAACAGGAUUAGAUACCCUUGUAGUC
rnacentral:rRNA from 1 species